rnacentral:rRNA from 1 species
GACGUGACUUCAGAGUUUGAUCCUGGCUCAGGAUGAACGCUAGCGGCAGGCCUAACACAUGCAAGUCGAGGGGCAGCACGAGUAGCAAUACUUGGUGGCGACCGGCGCACGGGUGCGUAACGCGUAUGCAACCUACCCGUAACUGGGGGAUAAUCCGGAGAAAUUUGGUCUAAUACCCCAUAAUAUAUUGAAUGGCAUCAUUUGAUAUUGAAAGUUCCGACGGUUACGGAUGGGCAUGCGUUGUAUUAGCUAGUUGGUGAGGUAACGGCUCACCAAGGCUACGAUACAUAGGGGAACUGAGAGGUUAAUCCCCCACACUGGUACUGAGACACGGACCAG